GACGAACGCUGGCGGCGUGCUUAACACAUGCAAGUCGAACGGAAAGGCCCUGCUUGCAUGGUACUCUAGUGUCGAACGGGUGAGUAACACGUGGGUGAUCUGCCCUGCACUUCGGGUUAAGCCUGGGAAACUAUGUCUAAUACCGGCUAGGAGCCAUUCUUAGUGUGAUUUUUCGAAAGUUUGUUCGGUGGAGGAUGGGCUCGCGGCCUAUCAGUUUGUUUGUGGGGGAAUGGCCUACCAAGGCGGUGACGGUAGACGGCCUGAGAGGGUGGAGGGCCACAUUGGGACUGAGAUGCGGCCCAGACCACUACGGGACGCAGCAGUGGGGAAUAUUGCACAAUGGGCGCAAGCCUGAUGCAGCGACGCCGCGUGGGGUAUGACGGGCUUCGGGUUGUAAACUACUGUCGCUAGGGACGAAGCGUUUUGUGACGGUACCUAGAGAAGAAGCACCGGCUAACUACGUG
rnacentral:rRNA from 1 species